CCUACGGGAGACAGCAGUCGAGAAUCAUUCACAAUGGGGGAAACCCUGAUGGUGCGACGCCGCGUGGGGGAAUGAAGGUCUUCGGAUUGUAAACCCCUGUCAUGUGGGAGCAAAUUAAAAAGAUAGUACCACAAGAGGAAGAGACGGCUAACUCUGUGCCAGCAGCCGCGGUAAUACAGAGGUCUCAAGCGUUGUUCGGAAUCACUGGGCGUAAGGCGUGCGUAGGCUGUUUCGUAAGUCGUGUGUGAAAGGCGCGGGCUCAACCCGCGGACGGCACAUGAUACUGCGAGACUAGAGUAAUGGAGGGGGAACCGGAAUUCUCGGUGUAGCAGUGAAAUGCGUAGAUAUCGAGAGGAACACUCGUGGCGAAGGCGGGUUCCUGGACAGUAACUGACGCUGAGGCACGAAGGCCAGGGGAGCGAAAGGGAUUAGAUACCCGUGUAGUC
rnacentral:rRNA from 1 species